AGAGUUUGAUCAUGGCUCAGGAUGAACGCUAGCGGCAGGCUUAACACAUGCAAGUCGAGGGGUAUUUGGACUUCGGUUCAGAGAGACCGGCAAACGGGUGCGGAACACGUACACAACCUACCUUUAUCAGGGGGAUAGCCCAGAGAAAUUUGGAUUAAUACCCCAUAGUAUUAUUUGGUGGCAUCAUUGAAUAAUUAAAGAACUUCGGAUAGAGAUGGGUGUGCGUAAGAUUAGCUAGUUGGUAGGGUAACGGCCUACCAAGGCAACGAUCUUUAGCUGAUGUGAGAGCAUGAUCAGCCACACGGGCACUGAGACACGGGCCCGACUCCUACGGGAGGCAGCAGUGAGGAAUAUUGGUCAAUGGACGGAAGUCUGAACCAGCCAUGCCGCGUGAAGGAUGAAGGCGUUCUGCGUUGUAAACUUCUUUUAUCUGGGAAGAAACCACAGAUUUCUAUUUGUGUUGACGGUAUCAGAUGAAUAAGCACCGGCUAACUCCGUGCCAGCAGCCGCGGUAAUACGGAGGGUGCAAGCGUUAUCCGGAUUUACUGGGUUUAAAGGGUGCGUAGGCGGGCUAUUAAGUCAGAGGUGAAAUCUCCGGGCUCAACCUGGAAACUGCCUUUGAUACUAUUAGCCUUGAAUUAUGUUGAGGUUGGCGGAAUAUAACAUGUAGCGGUGAAAUGCUUAGAUAUGUUAUGGAACACCGAUUGCGAAGGCAGCUGGCUAAACAUAUAUUGACGCUGAUGCACGAAAGCGUGGGUAGCGAACAGGAUUAGAUACCCUGGUAGUCCACGCCCUAAACGAUGAUUACUCGUCAUUUGUGAUACACAAUAAGUGACCAAGCGAAAGCGUUAAGUAAUCCACCUGGGAAGUACGUCCGCAGGAUGAAACUCAAAGGAAUUGACGGGGGUCCGCACAGCGGUGGAGCAUGGUGGUUUAAUUCGAUGAUACGCGAGGAACCUUA
rnacentral:rRNA from 1 species